GCUGCUGCUGAUCCACUGACAGCCUCUGUAGGAGGAAACAUCACUCUGCCCCUCGCCGUGAAGAAGGAAGGAUUUCUGUUACAUGAAGGAAAGAAUGUAGCUCAGGUGCGCGAGAACAAACUGGAGAUACUUGAAGAAAAUUACAAGCAUAGAAUUCACUGGAACCAGAACACAGGAUGUUUUACUCUCACCGGGCUGCAGAAAAAUGACUCUGGGAUCUACACAGUUGACUCGAAGGAAGGAGGAGGUGCUUCAGUAAAUUAUACACUGAUGGUGUGCGAGAAUAAAACAAAGUCAGUUGAUGUGACGACAGUCUGUCCACUGAACCAUAGAGGGAACACCAGCAGCUCCACAGACUCCAGGCAUCAUUUGAUCCCCAUCAUCAUUCCCACAGUGUGUGUUCUCAUCUUGUUAGUCUCUGUUUAUUUCAUCUGGAGGUUUUGUCACCAAAAGAAGUUGACAGUGAGACAAA